rnacentral:rRNA from 1 species
GACGGAGGAUGCAAGUGUUAUCCGGAAUCACUGGGCGUAAAGCGUCUGUAGGUUGUUGUUUAAGUCAACUGUUAAAUCUUGAGGCUCAACCUCAAAAUCGCAGUCGAAACUAUUCAACUUGAGUAUAGUAGGGGUAAAGGGAAUUUCCAGUGGAGCGGUGAAAUGCGUAGAUAUUGGAAAGAACACCGAUGGCGAAGGCACUUUACUGGGCUAUUACUGACACUCAGAGACGAAAGCUAGGGUAGCAAAUGGGAUUAGAUACCCCAGUAGUCCUAGCCGUAAACAAUGGAUACUAGAUGUUGAACAGAUCGACCUGUGCAGUAUCAAAGCUAACGCGUUAAGUAUCCCGC